CCUACGGGUGGCAGCAGUGAGGAAUAUUGGUCAAUGGACGAGAGUCUGAACCAGCCAAGUAGCGUGAAGGAUGACUGUCCUAUGUGUCGUAAACUUCUUUUAUCAGGGAACAAAACGAGGCACGCGUGCCUUUUUGCAUGUACUUUAUGAAUAAGAAUCGGCUAACUCCGUGCCAGCAGCCGCGGUAAUACGGAGGAUCCGAGCGUUAUCCGGAUUUAUUGGGUUUAAAGGAUGCGUAGAUGGGUUGUUAAGUCAGUUGUGAAAGUUUGCGGCUCAACCGUAAAAUUGCAAUUGAAACUGGCAGUCGUGAGUACAGUGAGGGUAGUCGGAAUUCGUGGUGUAGCGGUGAAAUGCUUAGAUAUCACGAAGAACCCCGAUUGCGAAGGCAGCUUAC
rnacentral:rRNA from 1 species